GUGAGUUAUUGAGCCUGUGUUCAUGUUCGUAAUAGCGCCUACGAGAAACAUGAAGCUGCAAAGAUAUUCGAAUAUAUACCUGCUGCUCUCGCUAUUCUGCAUAAUUGCUACAGUCAGUGCACAAGUUACACCGAAUGGAAAUAACAGUAUUGACAAUACUACGGACAAUGGCAAUAAUACAGGAAAUGACACAAAAAAUAAUUUUUACAAUGAGCUGAUAAAAGAACUUGACAAUGCCGGAAGAUGCUUAAAUAAAACAAGGAUCGUAAAAAUAGUUACUGUGAACUUUGUUCAAGUUCUGAAUAUUUUCUACAGUAUAAUGCCUCCAACUUUUACAUAUCAUAUUCUUCCUUACAUAUACAACUUUAUUAAUUUUUUCCUUAAAUUAUUACCAAUUCUCAACUAUUGGAGAGAGAGAUAUGGAAAUCUCGUGUAAUUGUAUUUACAACGUUAGUACUGUAUCAUUAUUAAAAUUUAAUUUUUUAAAAGACUAAAAGUUCUAAUUCAAACUUAUAAAGAAUCAUAUAACAAAAAUGAUAGGUUGACGUAUAAAUAUAUUAUACAGUACGUAUGCUGUGUUUAAAUGCAAAUAACAAAAUGUAAGACAACAAUGAAUAAAUGAUAAUUUAUGUAAUUUAUGCACCUUCCUACAUUCAUGCUAGAUACUUAAUAGCGAUAUAAACUGAUAAUUGUAAUGAUAAAAAGUAAUGGAAAGUAUACAUAAUAUAUCAACAUACCAAAAUACACUUUCUGGCGUAUCUUAUUUCGGAAGUAUGCAAAUAAAUGUAUGAGAUUGUAUCUCGAGACAAUACCGUACGUACAUAUAACUCGAAUUGCGGGUGUCAUUGUCAGUAGUGAUAGAAUAUCUUGGUCAGACGGUGUACAAGUCUUUGCAUUCUGGCAGUAGAUAAAUCUUUAUAGUCAGACAAGGGAUAGGCCUCUGUGACAGUAAAAGCUACCACGUUCCAAAAUUCAUAGAAUGCAACGCAAAAUAAUGUUACGUAAAUCUAGUUACGUCAUACAAAUGCAGUAUUCGCAAAAAUAUUAUAUUAACAUUCUAAAGUCAAAAUUAGUACUUUUGGUAGUUGUAAAUCUGAAAACUAUUUUAAUUAAAAAUUACCAAUUUUUUGUAAUAAUACAUAAUUAAACUAUUAUAUUUAAUGGAAACAUUUAGGAUAUCUAUGAUAUAUUAUCUACUGAUUAUCCAAAUAAUUAGUCGAUAACAGAAUAUGUAUCGUAAUUGCGUUUUUAUUUGUAAAAACGCAUGUUUUUUGCGAGAACAACUAAAGUGCUUUAACACGAAAAUUUAAAAUAACAAGCGAGCAACUUUAUUUUAUCAUGAUUCACUCCGUGAUAUUAUCUAGAAUUUAUUCAUUAGCACGCAGUUCGUGACUAUCUCCACAAAUCUACCGCGGAAUUUGGCAAGCUGACAAUUAUAUCGAAACGCAUAUACGUACAUGCAAAAUAGUUUCCUAAGAAAAAUGACUGUGCGAAUCGCGAUAGUAUGAGAAUGAGAAUAUAUACAUGAAGAUGAGAACUACGUAUUCAGUUGGCAUGACAUCGACCGAACAAGAGCAACAGUCAGACCGAAAUACGAUGCAGCGAUAAUGUUACAAUUCCGUGUGUUUCUAAGGAGCGCUCCGUUGUUGCUUCGUAUUCCAAAAAUAUCACGAACGAAAUAAGAUUAAUUAGUCCAAUUAUAGUAUCUUCUGAUCCUUAGUCUGUAAAUAUCGUGACGCGAACGCAUCAUAAUUCGUAGAGAUCGGUAAGAUCUUGGCAGUUUCACGCAUCAUCGUUACGCGUGCAAAAAUAUUUCGGUGAGAUUGAUGAUUUAUUUGCGUCGGUCAAUCACGCGCGGCGCGCGUGAUACGCGACGCUAAGCAAGAUAUGAAGCAUGAGAUCCCUUGAACUUGCGGGGUCAAACGACCAGACGUGAUAGCGUCUCGUUUAUUGGAUUCCCCUCUCGGAACGAUUGCUAUUAAUGCCGCGAUUUCUUGAGUCCUGUGCGUCCAAUCUGUAGACCGUAAAAUUACCAUUUGCGUCGUAACAAUGCAGAACACGUAAUCGGAGUCAAAGUGUUGAUAUUAAUUCUCCUUAGAAUUCUUUAUACUUCCCUUAAAUUUAUACCGCUUUUAUCACGACGAUUGAAUUAUUUCGAGAACUUUAACAAAUGUUUUCCCAGUAGCAAAGUUGAUGAAUAGUAUGGCGUAGUGCUAAUAAUUUAACUAUGUACUAUGUACCUAUGUAAUUGUGUAACUAUGUACUCUACAUCAGUUAUCCACUCCUUAGAUCGGUCUGUACCUGUCCUUUCUAGCAAGACACUUGAGAGUUGAACGACAAGCAAAACGAGCAAGGUAGACUUUUUACGCAACGGACUAUGUGCGACGCUAAUUGGUUUGAAUGGCAAAGAGACCUUUGUGAAAAGUUUCACGGACGGGAUUGAGUGCGAAAACACGAGUAAAUGUUUGCCGUGCACAUUUCGAAAAUGAAGAAGGUGGAUUAAUACCGGUCGCACCAUUCAACAGUCGCCGAUGGAAAAUUUUCCAGUUUAUUUUACGCCUCGGCAUAACAAGGCAUUCGUGGAAGUCAUGGGAUGACGAUAUUUUAAUAACGGAGUUCUAGCUGUCGUGAUAAUGUAUUAAAAAUGUAGAAAAUUCAUUACGUAAAGCUACACAAUAAAAUGAUGAAAGCGCUAUGUUUAUCAACUUGAAGAAAAUUUUAGGAACAUUAUUCAAGAAAGUACGCUAUUACGAUUGUAUGCGCGGCUAAAUGCAAAUCGUAAGAUUUCAAAGAGUCGGGCUGAAUAAAAGGCAACGAAAAGCGCACACGAGGAAAACACAGAUUCGCGGAAUCCAUAAAAUUUUUUGGUUGGAUGGGCGCAAUUUCAGAUGGGUCGAGACUGCGUGUGUACGGAGUAUGGAACAAGCAACCAUAAACAUACUCCAGAAGCUUAUAAACAAGUCGGCACAAAGCUGCCGCAGAGAAUGAAAUUUCAAUACGGCGCAUGAAUGCAGUUUUGAAGCCAAUUUUACUUUCACUCGAACGAGCAACUUCGAUAAAAGAUACACGGGGAAGAUUCUGCAUUCUAUCGUCAAUUUGCGUCAUAUUAAGAACAAGCGCACAUUCAUCGUCGACGUCACUUCGACAAAUAAGGAACAUCGGCGUUCUUACGUGUACCGCACGUGUGCUCAGAACAAACGGAUGACGUUCUUCCUUUUGUCAGCGAAAAGAAAGUGCAGAAGUGACACGGCAAUCGUUUAUUGGACUACGAUGUGACGAUCGAGACUGCGUAAUAAGUGAAAAUAAUGCGCAGUUCAUCGUACCGUUGCGUUUAUACCAAUGAAUAAUUUAUAAAGUAAGAAUAAGAGAUGAGAUAUUUAAGCCGCUACUAAAAAAAUAAUCGCGAUGGUGAAAAAAACGGCGUGCGUUUUCGUAUAUAUGUAUACAACAGCGAGGCUGCGAUUACGUGUUCUAAAAAAUCAAAUUACGCAACUUUAAUCUUUCUCGGCUCACAGUUUUUUUUUCUAUAAAAUGCCAUGCGUUACUGUAUGGCUCGUUUACGACCGACGCUAAUUCAGUCAUCAAAUAUUGAAAAUUGCAAUUGAGAGCUGCGACACUUUGGCAAAGGUCAGGAGUAAAGCUGUACAGACUUGCGAGGUUUACAGUACAGGCACAAUGUACGCGGAAAGUUAGCAACUUCAAAUGGAAUCCCUAGAAAGGGUUAAUGAGUCAUUUGAGAAAGUAAUGGUGAAAGAUGCUUAGUAACCGGGAUGCACAAUACAGACCACGAAACAAAACCAUGCUUUAAUCAUCUCUUGCAAUUUUGCACCACAAAAAAUUGCACCGUUAUUUUGCAUUACUCCGCGAAAGAUGAUAAUCAGCGCAUUGUUCUCCGCUUCAAAAAUAUAUUCUUCUUAACAGCGAAGUAAAAUAUUCAUUUGCCGUUAUGCGCGCAUGAUUUUUGGUUCUAACCAAAAAGUUUGCCUACAAGCAGGGCAAAGUAGCUCGUAAUGAGUGCAACGAGUUUACGAAGCUCGCCGUAUUAACACUCCAGCUUGCAAAUGGUAGAUACAAAGAGCAAUGAGAAAAUUCAUUUAAUCUCGUAAAUUAAAUUCGUGAUUAAACAGCAGCGGAAAAGACCAAAGGCAAAAGUCUUUAUUUUCCAUCAGCAAGAAUAACGGCGACUCCGUAGAGGAAUCGGCUUUUCGCUUACGUUAGCACUUUUAAUUAUGCUUGUUACGCUGAAUCAAUAUUGCAUUCAGUUUCGUAAAAAAUAUGAAGAAUUCUAAAGCCGCUUUGAGGAACCAACUCGAGUUACGGGUGGGUCUUGUAGCGUUAUAGAUAAAGUACGUUUGUAGAGCUCUUAAUAUUUUGAAUUUCUCAUAUUUUUAUUUUAAUUUUCUAAUAAACUCUCCAAGAGAAAUCCGGGUUAAUUGAACACUUAUACAGAGCUACACGUGGCGUUUCCGGGUCAAUCAAGAAAAAAGUAAAAAAAAAAAAAAAA